GACGAACGCUGGCGGCGUGCUUAACACAUGCAAGUCGAACGCUUAAGCUUGGUGCUUGCACUGGGUGGAUGAGUGGCGAACGGGUGAGUAAUACGUGAGUAACCUGCCCUUGACUCUGGGAUAAGCCUGGGAAACUGGGUCUAAUACUGGAUACGACAUGCCACUGCAUGGUGGUGUGUGGAAAGGGUUUUCCUGGUUUUGGAUGGGCUCACGGCCUAUCAGCUUGUUGGUGGGGUAAUGGCCUACCAAGGCGACGACGGGUAGCCGGCCUGAGAGGGUGACCGGCCACACUGGGACUGAGACACGGCCCAGACUCCUACGGGAGGCAGCAGUGGGGAAUAUUGCACAAUGGGCGGAAGCCUGAUGCAGCGACGCCGCGUGAGGGAUGACGGCCUUCGGGUUGUAAACCUCUUUCAGCACGGAAGAAGCGAGAGUGACGGUACGUGCAGAAGAAGCGCCGGCUAACUACGUG
rnacentral:rRNA from 1 species